rnacentral:rRNA from 1 species
UACGUAGGGUGCGAGCGUUAAUCGGAAUUACUGGGCGUAAAGCGCACGUAGGCGGUCUUUUAAGUCGGGGGUGAAAUCCUGGAGCUCAACUCCAGAACUGCCUUCGAUACUGGAAGACUUGAGUCCGGGAGAGGUGAGUGGAACUGCGAGUGUAGAGGUGAAAUUCGUAGAUAUUCGCAAGAACACCAGUGGCGAAGGCGGCUCACUGGCCCGGUACUGACGCUGAGGUGCGAAAGCGUGGGGAGCAAACAGG